AAAUUGAAGAGUUUGAUCAUGGCUCAGAUUGAACGCUGGCGGCAGGCCUAACACAUGCAAGUCGAGCGGUAGCACAGAGAGCUUGCUCUCGGGUGACGAGCGGCGGACGGGUGAGUAAUGUCUGGGAAACUGCCUGAUGGAGGGGGAUAACUACUGGAAACGGUAGCUAAUACCGCAUAACGUCGCAAGACCAAAGUGGGGGACCUUCGGGCCUCAUGCCAUCAGAUGUGCCCAGAUGGGAUUAGCUAGUAGGUGGGGUAACGGCUCACCUAGGCGACGAUCCCUAGCUGGUCUGAGAGGAUGACCAGCCACACUGGAACUGAGACACGGUCCAGACUCCUACGGGAGGCAGCAGUGGGGAAUAUUGCACAAUGGGCGCAAGCCUGAUGCAGCCAUGCCGCGUGUGUGAAGAAGGCCUUCGGGUUGUAAAGCACUUUCAGCGGGGAGGAAGGCGUUAAGGUUAAUAACCUUGGCGAUUGACGUUACCCGCAGAAGAAGCACCGGCUAACUCCGUGCCAGCAGCCGCGGUAAUACGGAGGGUGCAAGCGUUAAUCGGAAUUACUGGGCGUAAAGCGCACGCAGGCGGUCUGUCAAGUCGGAUGUGAAAUCCCCGGGCUCAACCUGGGAACUGCAUUCGAAACUGGCAGGCUAGAGUCUUGUAGAGGGGGUAGAAUUCCAGGUGUAGCGGUGAAAUGCGUAGAGAUCUGGAGGAAUACCGGUGGCGAAGGCGGCCCCCUGGACAAAGACUGACGCUCAGGUGCGAAAGCGUGGGGAGCAAACAGGAUUAGAUACCCUGGUAGUCCACGCCGUAAACGAUGUCGAUUUGGAGGUUGUGCCCUUGAGGCGUGGCUUCCGGAGCUAACGCGUUAAAUCGACCGCCUGGGGAGUACGGCCGCAAGGUUAAAACUCAAAUGAAUUGACGGGGGCCCGCACAAGCGGUGGAGCAUGUGGUUUAAUUCGAUGCAACGCGAAGAACCUUACCUGGUCUUGACAUCCACAGAACUUAGCAGAGAUGCUUUGGUGCCUUCGGGAACUGUGAGACAGGUGCUGCAUGGCUGUCGUCAGCUCGUGUUGUGAAAUGUUGGGUUAAGUCCCGCAACGAGCGCAACCCUUAUCCUUUGUUGCCAGCGGUCCGGCCGGGAACUCAAAGGAGACUGCCAGUGAUAAACUGGAGGAAGGUGGGGAUGACGUCAAGUCAUCAUGGCCCUUACGACCAGGGCUACACACGUGCUACAAUGGCAUAUACAAAGAGAAGCGACCUCGCGAGAGCAAGCGGACCUCAUAAAGUAUGUCGUAGUCCGGAUUGGAGUCUGCAACUCGACUCCAUGAAGUCGGAAUCGCUAGUAAUCGUAGAUCAGAAUGCUACGGUGAAUACGUUCCCGGGCCUUGUACACACCGCCCGUCACACCAUGGGAGUGGGUUGCAAAAGAAGUAGGUAGCUUAACCUUCGGGAGGGCGCUUACCACUUUGUGAUUCAUGACUGGGGUGAAGUCGUAACAAGGUAACCGUAGGGGAACCUGCGGUUGGAUCACCUCCUUA
rnacentral:rRNA from 1 species